rnacentral:pre_miRNA from 1 species
UGAGGUAGUAGGUUGUAUAGUUUGAGGGCUCCGCCCUGCCUGUUAGAUAACUAUACAAUCUACUGUCUUUC